CCUCACGUCACCAGAGACUAAACUCUGUAACUUCUGGAGCUAUCAUCUGGGGCAUGUUGGCACCUCUACUUCGCAUUACUGGUUUUGAAGCGUCUAGUUAGGAGUUUAUGUCAAGCUUCCAACGUGCUCUGUCCAUUUAAGCCACUCAACAUUACGAUGUCCGAGACUUCGGGGAAACACCGAAAGCUUUCUGGAGCUCAGCACAGAAAGUAUAGAAAGAAGAAUAAGUAGGGAAAUCAAUUUCAUCCAUAGUUAAGUUUUCCAAGCAGAUUCAGCUCCUUCAACGUCUGCUGAAAGAGUCCUGCAGGGUCAAACA